UGGAACAGGACGUCAUAGAGGGUGAGAAUCCCGUGUGGCGAGGAUCCCAGUUCUUUGUAAAACGCUUUCGAAGAGUCGAGUUGUUUGGGAAUGCAGCUCUAAGUGGGUGGUAAAUUCCAUCUAAAGCUAAAUAUUGGCGAGAGACCGAUAGCGAACAAGUACAGUGAUGGAAAGAUGAAAAGAACUUUGAAAAGAGAGUGAAAAAGUACGUGAAAUUGUUGAAAGGGAAGGGCAUUUGAUCAGACAUGGUGUUUGGACGCCCUGCGCUCCUUGUGGGUGCAGGACACGCUUUUCACUGGGCCAACAUCGGUUUUGGCAGCAGGAUAAAUCGUUAGGAACGUAGCUGCCCUCGGGUAGUGUUACAGCCUGGCGGAAUACUGCUAGCCGGGACUGAGGACUGCGUCUUUUGACAAGGAUGUUGGCAUAAUGGUUAAAUGCCGCC
rnacentral:rRNA from 1 species